rnacentral:rRNA from 1 species
UCCCAGACUCCUACGGGAGGCAGCAGUGGGGAAUAUUGCACAAUGGGGGAAACCCUGAUGCAGCGACGCCGCGUGAGUGAAGAAGUAUUUCGGUAUGUAAAGCUCUCUCAGCAGGGAAGAAAAUGACGGUACCUGAUUAAGAAGCCCCGGCUAACUACGUGCCAGCAGCCGCGGUAAUACGUAGGGGGCAAGCGUUAUCCGGAUUUACUGGGUGUAAAGGGAGCGUAGACGGCAGCGCAAGUCUGAAGUGAAAUGCCGGGGCUUAACCCCGGAACUGCUUUGGAAACUGUGCAGCUGGAGUGCAGGAGAGGUAAGUGGAAUUCCUAGUGUAGCGGUGAAAUGCGUAGAUAUUAGGAGGAACACCAGUGGCGAAGGCGGCUUACUGGACUGUAACUGACGUUGAGGCUCGAAAGCGUGGGGAGCAAACAGGAUUAGAUACCCGCGUAU